AUCCUCGCCCGGCGCCUCACUCACCAAGGGCCGCGCCGGGGUUCUGCACUGUCACUGCGCUGCGGUUCCCCGCCUUAGGGAUUCUCACACGGUUCCACGGCUCCAGGCCCGGCGGCACCGCAGCCAUCAUGCGAGGCGGGGGGACUUACGAAAGGCGGAGCUACGCGAGAGCACGUCCAGCGACCGGAGUCUGGAACAGUUCCUCGUUCUUUCUCUGGCUCUGGAUCUGCGUCCCUGACAGUCUUAAAGAGGACAGACCUUUCAUUCAUGAGGAUGACCCUCAACUUGGCCCAGUCCAUGUUUCCUCAGACUCAAGCCUUGCAUUCCUGGCAGAAAGACUGAAGAAAUGAUGCUGUGCUCUUCUCAGUGCUUCGCGUCAGGAGGCUCUACUCUCUCAACCGGCCCCACUAUUGGUGCCGCGUUUUGGAGUAGUGUGUCCUGUACCUGUCACCUUUAACAAACAAUUAUUGAGCACCUACUGGGUGCCAGAUACUCCACCAGGCUCUGAGAGGACAGAAAUGCAUAAGACACAAUUCCUGCUCUCAAGGAGGCCUUUCAAAAAGAAGAGAGUAGAAAAAAUUCACACAUUUCCCCCAUUCCAAAAUGACAUCUGAAGAAAGGAAAAGAAAAAGACGCAGCCUCAUCCUGUCACCUGGGCUGGAGUGCAAUGGCGUGAUCUCGGCUCACUGCAACCUUCAUCUCCCGUGUUCAAACGAUUCUCCUGCCUCAGCCUCCCAAGUAGCUGGAAUUACAAGCACCUGCCACCAUGCCCAGCUAAUUUUUGUAUUUUUAGGAGAGAUGGGGUUUCACCAUGUUGGCCAGGCUGGUCUCAAACUCCUGACCUGGUGAUCUGCCCACCUUGGCCUCCCAAAGUUCUGGGAUUACAGGCGUGAGCCACUGUGCCCGGCCGAGACUGUUAAGAUUUUAUUGCCCUAGUACCAGCAGUUAUGAUGUUCUAUAGAACUUAUAGCUGAGCCCAUGCCAGGGAUUCCCCAGCUCACUGAAGCUGGAAGGAAGCCAACUGGACUGCCGAGUUCACUUUAGGAAGAGAGAGGGAGUUAACUUAAAGUAGGAGGUGGGUUGGAGGAAGGAUAGAAGCCCAGAAAGUAAGUAAGGCAUUGUAAAGUCACACCUUAGGCUCUGCAGUCAGACAGAGCUGGCUGUGGGUGACUUUCCGAUAUUUACUAGCUUAGGAUAUUAAGCAAGUGCUUUAAUCACGCCAAGACUCAGUUUUCCCAUCUGUGAACUGGAGGUCAUAAUAGUACUUGCCUUGUUGGAUUGUUGUGAGGAUUCGAUGAGAUAAAGUCUGAAAAGAAUUUAGCACAGUGUCUGGUUCACAGUAAAAGUUAAAUCAAUAUUAUUUUCUAUUAUCAUAAUUAUAAAUAAUGGCAUGAGCAAAGGAGAGGCUGCGAGUAGAGUUCGCACUUUCCCUCCCUAAGUGUCAGUGCGUCUGGAGAGAAGACAAACAUUCUUACGUAUAAACAGUCCCUUCCGUGUGACUCUCUCAUCCAAGCCUGCUGCAUACCUUGGGUGUGAGGGCAAAGAGUAGUAAAAAGGAAGAAAAAUGGAAGAAGAAAGAAGAGACCACAAAAGCAGAAGAGAUUCACCGGGGGUGAGGGGCACCAGGGCAGCAGGGUGGGGGCAGGAAUGAUUGGAAAAAGACAUGCAAAAGACAACCACGUGAAAGAAAUGAAUAUGGAUAUGGAAAUUGUCAAAAAUGGAAAGAAGUUUUGCAGCUGGAUGUGGACAGAGCAGGAAAUGUGGAGGAGAGGUGUAGGAGUCUAAAAAUGUACAGGGUUUAGUUUGCCGGCCAACACCUCCUCUGGGGAGGUAACAACUCCUGAAAGCCAUGAACUUUUAAAAAGGAACCUAAACAGCACAGCAAACCUUCCUGAAGAACAUAUAACCUCACUGUGUACUUUUUGUCAGCCUCAAUUCCUUCCCCACAACUCUCACUGAGCCAUUGAUCAGUGACUCACCCUUAUCUCCCACGAUCUCACACUCCGCUGUAACCCUAAAGAAAACUCUGCUCCUUAAGGUAAUCCUUGACACUGUGCUGUGCAGGCCUCUGCUGCAAAGGGUAGGGGCAAAAUUACACCAUGCCUGGAGCUUAGUAAGUGCUCCAGGCAUGGGGUAAUUCAACAAACAAUGUUGGUUGAAUGAACAGAGGGAUGAAUGGUGUGGUAUACUUGAGGCAAGCCUACAUGCAAGUCAACAAGACUGCUCAUUGGAUCACUUGAGCCCAGGAGUUUGAAAUCAGCCUGGGCAAUAUAGUAAGACCUUGUCUCUACAAAAAAAAAAAAAAAAAAAAAAAAAAAUUAGCCGGGUGUGGUGGCACAUGCCUGUAGUCCCAGCUACUUGGGAGGCAGAGGUGGGAGGAUCCCUUGAGCCCAGUAGUUCGAGGCUGCAGUAAGCUAUGAUAGUGCCACUGCCCUCCAGCCUGGGAGACAGUGAGACUGUCUCAAAAAAGAAAGACUGCUCAUGGGGACAGGAUUUCUUUCUGGGGGAAAGAAAUGUCCUGGAAUUAGAUAGUGGUGAUGGUUGUACAAUUUUCUGAAUGUAUUAAAACCCACUAAACUGUACAAUUUAAAACGGUAAAACAGUAUGUGAAUUGUAUCCCAAUAACUUUAAAAAGCACAAACUAUAGCCAGGGAGAAGCAAACAGUCAUGACUAGUACCUCUCUUCCAAUUGCACUCUUUUUUUUUUGCUUUGUUUUCCCCCCGUAAGUUAUUGGAGUACAGGUGGUAUCUGUUUAAGUGAGUAAGUUCUUUAGUGGCAAUUUGUGAGAUUUUGGUGCACCCAUCACCCAAGUGCACUCUUGACACCGGGUUCUCUUCUCAUCCUUUUGCUUCUUCUCAGGACAUAGUGAUUAUCUUUAAAAGCCUUUCUCAUGUGGUUUUUGUUUGUUUGUUUUUGGAUUUUCAAGUGUUCUGGAAAUCUCAGUGGGACCAACGAUGGUUAGAUCUCGUAGUAAUAAAGUGACUAUGUAAGAGAAGCUCAGUUCUUUCUUGAACAUUUCUCUAGGACCUGUGCUAACUUUUCAAGCUUGAACAGUCCUCAAGAUAAAGAUUCACUUUCAUAGCGAGCGUCUUUCACAUGGCCCCAGCCACCUGAGGCUCGGCAUCAAAGAAAUUUUUUAGGAAAUCUAUUGCCUAACUAUCAUGUCUCUUAGCCUUAUAGUGCCCUUAUGGAACACCUUAUCUUCCCUGAUAGUCAAGAGCAUUUAAAUGAACAGAAACGGUUUCCCAGAUGGGAUGGAGAGGAAGAACACAGUGUAGCAAUAGAUUCUCCCGGGAUUUUUUUGUUUUUGUUUUUGGUUUUGGCUUAUUGUUGUUGUUGUGUGUGUGUGUUUGAGUCAGUGUCUUGUUCUGUCACCCAGGUUGGAGUGCAGUGACAUGAUUUUAGCCCUCUGUAACCUUGAACUCCUGGGCUCAAGUGAUCCUUCCACCUCAGCCUCCUGAGUAGCGGUAUCAUUGCGGCCAGCUCUCCUUUUCCUUUAACUUUCCUGUUUAGUCACAACCUGCCUUCUUAUACAUACCUAUAAACACAUGGACAUCAAUAUUAAAAAAUGUUGUUUUCUAUGGA
rnacentral:lncRNA from 1 species